rnacentral:rRNA from 1 species
UACGGGGGGAGCAAGCGUUGUUCGGAUUUACUGGGCGUAAAGGGCGCGUAGGCGGUCAGCACAAGUCAGUUGUGAAAUCUCCGGGCUUAACUCGGAAAGGUCAACUGAUACUGUGCGACUAGAGUGCAGAAGGGGCAACUGGAAUUCUCGGUGUAGCGGUGAAAUGCGUAGAUAUCGAGAGGAACACCUGUGGCGAAGGCGGGUCUCUGGGCCGAUACUGACGCUGAGGAGCGAAAGCGUGGGGAGCGAACAGG